rnacentral:lncRNA from 1 species
UUUUUUGCUACCAUUUCUGUCUAGGCAUUGUAUUGUGGUGGGUAUUGUUGUAUUGUGGUGGAUACUGUUGCAUCUUCUUCAUUGUUGCAUCUUCAAAAUUUAGACUCAGAAAUUAUUUUUCUUUUAUUGGGAUGAAUGUGCAUUUAUUAAAAUAUUUGUCUAAUAAUUUUAAGAUUUAAAUCAAAGUUGCACUUGAUACUAUAAGUAAUUGGAUUGUAU